rnacentral:rRNA from 1 species
GAUGAACGCUGGCGGCGUGCCUAAUACAUGCAAGUCGAGCGAACAGACGAGGAGCUUUCUCCUCUGACGUUAGCGGCGGACGGAUGAGUAACACGUGGAUAACCUACCUAUAAGACUGGGAUAACUUCGGGAAACCGGAGCUAAUACUGGAUAAUAUAUUGAACCGCAUGGUUCAAUAGUUAAAGACGGUUUUGCUGUCACUUAUAGAUGGAUCCGCGCCGCAUUAGCUAGUUGGUAAGGUAACGGCUUACCAAGGCGACGAUGCGUAGCCGACCUGAGAGGGUGAUCGGCCACACUGGAACUGAGACACGGUCCAGACUCCUACGGGAGGCAGCAGUAGGGAAUCUUCCGCAAUGGGCGAAAGCCUGACGGAGCAACGCCGCGUGAGUGAUGAAGGUCUUCGGAUCGUAAAACUCUGUUGUUAGGGAAGAACAAAUGUGUAAGUAACUAUGCACGUCUUGACGGUACCUAAACAGAAAGCCACGGCUAACUUCGUG